GGCGAGCUGGGCAAGGGCAGCUGGCGUCUGCUCAGCGCCGCCGAAGUCAGGGCGUUGGUGCCAGCGGCACAGGCCGCCAGCGCGCCA
rnacentral:tRNA from 1 species